UCAGUCUGUAUCUGAGCUCUCUCAGUAACACAAAGAUGCUUUAUCCAACUUAUCUGCUGUGUUUAUUGUUGUGCUAUAUUCAGUAUUCCUGUGGACAGACCAUGAUGACACAGACUCCAGAUUUAUUCACUGUGCCACCUGGAGAAACUAUCAGCAUCAAAUGUAAAGCCAGUAGCAGUGUUAGCACCAGCUACUUGCACUGGUACCAACAGAAAUCAGGACAAGCUCCAAAGCUUCUUAUCUAUGGUACAAGCAACAAACACACAGGGACCCCAGACAGGUUCAGCGGCAGUGGGUCUGGUACUGAUUACGCUCUCACUAUCAGCGGAGUGCAUGCAGAAGAUGAAGCAGAUUAUUACUGUCAGCAGAGUAACAGCUGGCCUCUCACAGUGAUACAGAGCUGUACAAAAACCUUCCUCUUUUUUCAGCUCAGAGUUUUAAUGAAAAGCUUGUACGGAGUGAUGUUUCUGAGUGAUUGUUUAUUGUUGUUCAUUUAG